ensembl:miRNA
UUUGGGUUGACCUAAAAGUUCAUUUGGGUUUUUCUAUAACAUCUUGCAGAAAAACCGGAAUGAACUUUUUGGCCUACCCAA